rnacentral:tRNA from 1 species
GGCGGGGUGGCAGAUAGGUUAUGCAGCGGAUUGCAAAUCCGUCUAGGCCGGUUCGAUUCCGACCCUCGCCUCCA